rnacentral:rRNA from 2 species
AGAGUUUGAUCCUGGCUCAGAUUGAACGCUGGCGGCAGGCCUAACACAUGCAAGUCGAGCGGUAGCACAGAGAGCUUGCUCUCGGGUGACGAGCGGCGGACGGGUGAGUAAUGUCUGGGAAACUGCCUGAUGGAGGGGGAUAACUACUGGAAACGGUAGCUAAUACCGCAUAACGUCGCAAGACCAAAGUGGGGGACCUUCGGGCCUCAUGCCAUCAGAUGUGCCCAGAUGGGAUUAGCUAGUAGGUGGGGUAACGGCUCACCUAGGCGACGAUCCCUAGCUGGUCUGAGAGGAUGACCAGCCACACUGGAACUGAGACACGGUCCAGACUCCUACGGGAGGCAGCAGUGGGGAAUAUUGCACAAUGGGCGCAAGCCUGAUGCAGCCAUGCCGCGUGUGUGAAGAAGGCCUUCGGGUUGUAAAGCACUUUCAGCGGGGAGGAAGGCGAUAAGGUUAAUAACCUUGUCGAUUGACGUUACCCGCAGAAGAAGCACCGGCUAACUCCGUGCCAGCAGCCGCGGUAAUACGGAGGGUGCAAGCGUUAAUCGGAAUUACUGGACGUAAAGCGCACGCAGGCGGUCUGUCAAGUCGGAUGUGAAAUCCCCGGGCUCAACCUGGGAACUGCAUUCGAAACUGGCAGGCUAGAGUCUUGUAGAGGGGGGUAGAAUUCCAGGUGUAGCGGUGAAAUGCGUAGAGAUCUGGAGGAAUACCGGUGGCGAAGGCGGCCCCCUGGACAAAGACUGACGCUCAGGUGCGAAAGCGUGGGGAGCAAACAGGAUUAGAUACCCUGGUAGUCCACGCCGUAAACGAUGUCGAUUUGGAGGUUGUGCCCUUGAGGCGUGGCUUCCGGAGCUAACGCGUUAAAUCGACCGCCUGGGGAGUACGGCCGCAAGGUUAAAACUCAAAUGAAUUGACGGGGGCCCGCACAAGCGGUGGAGCAUGUGGUUUAAUUCGAUGCAACGCGAAGAACCUUACCUGGUCUUGACAUCCACAGAACUUUCCAGAGAUGGAUUGGUGCCUUCGGGAACUGUGAGACAGGUGCUGCAUGGCUGUCGUCAGCUCGUGUUGUGAAAUGUUGGGUUAAGUCCCGCAACGAGCGCAACCCUUAUCCUUUGUUGCCAGCGGUUAGGCCGGGAACUCAAAGGAGACUGCCAGUGAUAAACUGGAGGAAGGUGGGGAUGACGUCAAGUCAUCAUGGCCCUUACGACCAGGGCUACACACGUGCUACAAUGGCAUAUACAAAGAGAAGCGACCUCGCGAGAGCAAGCGGACCUCAUAAAGUAUGUCGUAGUCCGGAUUGGAGUCUGCAACUCGACUCCAUGAAGUCGGAAUCGCUAGUAAUCGUAGAUCAGAAUGCUACGGUGAAUACGUUCCCGGGCCUUGUACACACCGCCCGUCACACCAUGGGAGUGGGUUGCAAAAGAAGUAGGUAGCUUAACCUUCGGGAGGGCGCUUACCACUUUGUGAUUCAUGACUGGGGUGAAGUCGUAAC